UACACCUGCAGUUAAGCCCUCUAUCUUGACCCGUUGUAUGCAUCAAUAUGUAAAGAACGGAAUACAGUGAGACAGCAUUGCACAUUGUGUUUACCUUGUGUGAUAAGUUAGACUAGAAAGAUAAUAUCUGAAAAUUUCCGUCACAACUAAACGCAGGUGCAUGGAGCUCGUUCAAAGUUAGUGACCAUCUGUUCUACGACCACGACAGGCUACUGUUAACUACGUUGACGUAAUGGGGUUUCAACAAUCUGUUUUCAAGAAGCCAGUUGACAUGAACGAUUUAGGUGAUAACUCAAAUGAAGAAAUUAAUUUAAAGAAGAGAAGAAAAGAAGCUCUAGAAGAACUACUAAAAAGAAUUGGAAAAGAAAACAGACCUUUAAAUAUUGCCAUAAUUGGGACACCAGGUUCUGGAAAAUCGUCAUUUAUCAACACAUUGAUUGCUAGCAUCACUGGUGAAUGGAGAAGCCAUGCAAUGGUUGGGUGUUUCGGCGGACUGGGAUUGCAGAAAACAAAGCAUAUUGCAACGUUGAGUAUAUCUUCCUCUUUUAAAUCUUUAUCAAGGCUGUAAAAUAUUGAACCGGCUAAAUCUGUCUUUGAUGUCUUUCUAAUUAAGACUGUAAAAUAUCAAAUAUAUGAGUUUUCAGUUUUUAAAUGCUUGGAUAGAAAGACGAAGGUAUCCAACAGUGAUCAAUCAAUCCGUGGUCAAAAUCAGUUGUGCAAAAACAGUUUAGUCAAAUGACAUAAAUCACGUCAGACAACAUUCGCUCUAAAGACAAUAUUGUUUGUAAAUUCGAUCGUUGCAAAAAUCAUAUAAUUUGCAAAAUAAUGAAUUGAGAAGAAAUUGUUAAAGCUCCUGCAACGUCAAAUUAUUGUCAACCUCCUGUCUAAGUUGAACAUUGAUCUACGUAGAACAUGCUCCCGCGUAUGGAAUAAGGAAAUAUACAAACCAUAUGCAGGUGUUCAAAGAAUAUUUCUACAUCGAUAUGCCAAGUUGACAACUCAGAAGCUGGAUUCAUCCUGUUUGUCAUAGAGUUGAGUUGUUACGUUGCCGUUAACGUCUAGGUUCAGUAAACAUGUGGGAAAUUUGUUACGUCUAUUAUUUUUAUUUCAUCAGAUUAUAUCAAAUAUAUAAAUAGGAAUUAUAAUGUAUAAUAGGUAAAAAUAUCAUCUAGGGAUUCGUGUUUGUCCUACACUUAAUUUUGUAUUCUUUAUUGGAAUUAUGAGAUUGGUCACUGUUCGUUAUCCUCACCUUUCUAUUUAUGUUAUUGUCGAGAUGAAGGGCACGGCAAGAUAGUUGUUUUUUCACGCACAAGUGUGUGGGAAAAAUCCACCUUAUAAGAAUACGAAACAGGUCAGCUAAUAAUGUAACUAUAUCCCAGACCAUAACCCUCCCUCCACUCCCUGCGUUGAAUGAUGAUGGCGUCAUGCACAACGAUAAGACGGAACACGACCGUCACUGCUGUCGAGAUGAAAUCUCAACUCGUCCGUUAACAGAACUUCUCCCCAAUCUCUGUUAUUAAAACGACUGUGUAUCCUACACCACGCCAACCUCACAACACGGUGACGCCAGAGCAGAACAGCACGGAUAGCAGGACAUCAAGGACGGAUGUUGGCUUCUCGCAAUUUGUUCCUUACGGUACAUGGACUUAUCCGUUGAUACCCAGGGAUGCUUCUAGUGGUCAAAUAUGGCUAUUGAAAUCGGUAACACAAAUGUUUGUAUAUACGUAUCUUACAGACGUGGCGUCACACACGACCGUCCUUACAUUCCUAACGGUGCCAAUAUGCUCAUAUCGUCUCAAUAAAGCAUCAUGCAAGACGUCUCUUAAUCAAAAUUUUCAUCCAAAAACCAAUGUUUUUUUCUCUGCAGUACAUUGGAUACUGUCAAUGAAUGUCCGAAAUUCUAAUCUAUCACUAACCAUGUGUCGCUUAGCUUCGAAACUCCAGAAAAACGUACUGUGAUCAUUAAGGCAAAUCGAAAAUGAUAUUUAACAAAUAGAGUACUCAAACAUGCAUUUAGUUUAUUAAACUAAACCUUUAAGAAUAAAGAGAGAUCGAAGAAUAUUUUUUAGGUUUUUAUUCAAUUUUUAAGUAUACACAGUUUUGUUUUUGCGCUAAUAUAUUAUAGCAUGAUUCAAUCUUAAUAUGAGAUUUUCGAGGUAAGGAUCUACUCUGACUUUUAUUGCGCAUCGAACGUAAUUUGUAGAGCAUGUCACUUCCGGAUUACAAUAACUAAGUAAACAAGCAUGGAGUACUUCAAUUGCUAUCAAGUUCCUGCAUUGACAUUAUAUAUUUCAAAGAAAAGAAUCACUACAACAAUUUAUAGGAAAGUGUAUUUGAUUAAACUAUGUGAGUUGGCGAGAGAAAUAAAUCUAGAGAAUGUAUUGAGGAUACCGAUAAAACUUCAUGCCUUGCAUCCAAGGAUACGCAUCUAAAUGCGCCUUUACCCUUCCAUUUAAUUUACACCCAGGUACUAAGCACCAAGAGUGACUUGGAUUGUCAUCGUGGGACGACUGCUAGCGUAUCACCAUAUUUUUUUUUAUCGAUGUUUCAUUUUUCACAGUAUCUCCCCUUACAAUUGGUUAAUAUCACGUGACCGCGGUGUAUAAACGUCUAUUCUAAUCGGUCGUUCCAGCCCAUCCCGAAAAUUCCGUAUUUAGUAACCCUGUCGUGAACUCUUAAGUGUAAAAUGUCACAAUAAAUGCUGACUCUAAAACCAAGUAUUAAAGGAGAACAUAAAGCAUUUCUCGACUGUAAAUUUAGUCAAGAUGUAUUUUUUUAAUAAAAAGUUAAGUCUAAAGUUUACCCUUUGUAUGAAGCUGAAAACAAUAUUUUCACUAGAGGAAAACUUAUUUACACAUAUACUUUGAUAUCUAACACCUUUACAUCCAUUGAUUUCAUAAUCAAUACAGAGAAUUAUAAAACAUUUCUAAGUAAUCAUGAUGAUGCCGAUAUUUGACUUCUGCUUUGCCAAGAUGAACAGAUAGUUUAUUAUGGAGAUAAUCUUUCCCAAAAAAUUCCUAGUUUAUGAUCCUUCUUAACAUAAAAUAUAGAAUUAUCAUCGGCAUAUAAAAUCAAUAUGCAGUCUUUAAAUACUAAUAGAAAUGCAUUGUAUCAUUGACAUGAAUCAAAAUGCUCCCCUGAGGUACUCCACAUUUUAUAGAAUUAUAAUUAGAGGUUACAUUGUUGACACUGUUGUUGUCUACCAGAUAGUUGUAAAAUAAAUCACUCAGUGGAUAAAACUUCUAAGAUCUUAAAGUCAAAUAAGAUUUCAUGGUCAACAGUGUCAAUGCUUUAUGUAAGUUCAACAUCACCAUACCAAUAGAAACCCCUAUAGGAUAGAUUACGCUUCUUAUAAAAUCUAGCAUUUGCAUCAAAUAAGUAUCUGUAGAAAAAUGGUUUCUAAAACAUGAAUGGUAACAAUAUAACCAAUGAUUACUGUUCAAAAAUUGUAAAUCUUUGACUUUAUGCAUAGUACAUAAAGAAACCUAUAAUUGUCAGCUUCCAGGCAACAUCCCUUUUCAAAAAGAGAUUUCACCCCUGCGGUUUUAAAUGAGAGGAGAAGAUCAUAGAUAUACCCUUUCUCUGAUGUUAAAGAAAAAUUAGAAUAAUAAACCUAACAAAUUAUACUUCUAAACAAUUAUAUACCUCAAAUCAUGACAAUGUUUCAUUUUUCACAGUAUCUCCCCUUUCAUUUGCACCCAGUUACUGGGUCUAGGUGUUACGUAUUUAUGUAUUAUGAGAAAGUCAAGUCUCAUUCAUUGUAUUUCCAUAUAAACAUUUUCUAAAUGAUUAAUACAUUUAGAUGGAAAGCAGUAUAUAUUGUUCUAAGCUAUUGAUCUCAUUGUCUACGAAAUUUGUACUCAAAGUUGGACUGUUAGUAUGAUAGCAAUUCUUCUUCAAGAAUCCUGACUGGAGAAGAUGGACGACUAAUUUUAACUCCCAACGUAAAUCAGUCCACAAAAGUUACAUUAAACUGCUUGGAAAACGGUAGAAGAUUUACAAGUAAAAAAAAAGUUUUGGUAUUGAAAUUUCUUGAGAGAGAUUACUUAUUAUUCAAUUUCCAGUGGUUAAUAAAUCACCAUUUUACAGUUUUUGACAAACCAUUUAGGUAUAUAGCACAUGUGAAAAAAGAAUCAUUGAAAAUUCAAUGAUAAAUCCCGCCACUGGAUAUUUUAGCAUGUAAUAACGAAUUAACAGAUAAAACGUACAUAAACAAGCAGGACUGGGUUUUAUUGUGAAACCCGAAUUUCUAUAAUAAUAAUAAUAAUAAUGAUUGGUUUUAUAUAGCGCCUUAUCCAGCGUAUGCUGCUCAAAGCGCUUUACAAUUAUCAAUGUACAUUAUUACCCCGGCAGACCUUCUAUCAAUCUAGAACUUUCUCAGCCUCCUAGGAAGCAUACAGUUCAAGCUGCCAUUACAAGCGCUAGAGCACUAGCAUAUGUCUAUAGCCAGGUACCCCUUUUACACUUGGGUGGAGUGAGGAAAUUCAUGUAAAGUGCCUUUCCCAAGGACACAACGUCAGCCCUGCCGCGGCCAGGACUCGAACCCACGACCUUUCGGUCGAGAGUCUGACGGCCUAACCACUCGGCCACCGACGCCAGUGUAGUAGUCAAAAUCAGUGUGCCAAGAACGGCCUAACAAUCGGUAUCAAACACGUCAGACAGCAUUUGACCCAAUUAUAGUUUGUAUUGACGAACUAGAUCGUUAUGACGACCAUAGAAUUUGCGAAAUGUUGACUUCACUCGAGGCUGUUGAAACCUCUGUACCAUCAACUUGUUUGUCAGUAGCUUGCCUCGAUUCAAAACUUGACAAUACGCAGAACAAGCUCUUGCGUAUCGAAUCAGUUGAGAGAUAUAAACACCAUAUGCAGGUGAUUAUGGAAUAUUGCUACAUAAAUAUUGGAAGUUGACAAUGGAGAAGCUGAAAUCAUUCUGUUUGUCAUACAGUUGAGUUGUCAGUUUGCCGUUAAUGUCUACUUUCAAUAAAAUAUCUAAGUAUGAAGCAAAAGUGGACGACUCUGUAGUGUCUUUUAUUUCGAGCUCACAGGGAUAUAUCGAAUUGACAUAUGAAUGUCUAAUUUUUUCAAAGGGAGUGACAUUGGAGUGACAUUGGAACUUAUCAAUUUUUAGAAAUACAUAGUAUGAUAUUGCAUUUUCUAUUCUUAGAUAUCGAAAGGAAAAAUAUUUGAAACAUGCAAAAGAUGUUAAACACCUGAUGAAAUUUAACUUUCCGGCGAUUUUGGACAUGUCAGGCAUUGAUGAUGCCAAUGAUAGAGACACCAAAAUGCUAUUGGAUUUAGUAUUUUCUGGUCGGAUCCCAGAAAAUAGCAAAAUUUCUGAUAUUCUGCAAAACAUAAGGCAAAAUGAGGAGGAGCUUAACAAUCUAUAUCCACUCGCUAAAUCAAAUAUCAGAGUCGACAGAAUUAUCUUUCUUGUUUCUGCUGCAAACCCAAGUCUACCAGAGAACCUUAUGCAAGCUGUUCACAGUUCCAGUACAUCAAGACGAAGAGAUUUUGGACCCAUCUAUCACAGUUACUGAAUAUAAGAGAGCCACAUUAAACCAAGUGGAUGCUGGUGGAAUUCUCAUGCUUGCGUUUGUGAUUUUGAUGAUAGCCAUCUUCAUAAUGCUGUUUGGAAAAUGAAUGAAUAGAAAAAGAUCAUUUUCCAUAUAAAUGGUGGAAAUCUAAUACCGGUACCCAAACAUUGAAAACAACUAUUAGUAAAUUGGAAACCACUGUGUCUUAUUGUUUCAUUUUCUUGUUGGUGUAUAUUCUUUAUCUAAGGUGUACGAGUAUGAUUGUUAACGGGUUUCUUGUGUAAUGUUCUACAUUUUCUUUAAAGUGUGUGAGUGUUUUGUGUUAAUGACUGUAUUGUUUAAAGUUCUACGUUGUUUUUGUAAAUAAACUUAUUUCUGA